UGGGGAAUCUUCCGCAAUGGACGAAAGUCUGACGGAGCAACGCCGCGUGAGUGAUGACGGCCUUCGGGUUGUAAAGCUCUGUUAAUCGGGACGAAUGGUUCUUGUGCGAAUAGUGCAAGGAUUUGACGGUACCGGAAUAGAAAGCCACGGCUAACUACGUGCCAGCAGCCGCGGUAAUACGUAGGUGGCAAGCGUUGUCCGGAAUUAUUGGGCGUAAAGCGCGCGCAGGCGGAUUGGUCAGUCUGUCUUAAAAGUUCGGGGCUUAACCCCGUGAUGGGAUGGAAACUGCCAAUCUAGAGUAUCGGAGAGGAAAGUGGAAUUCCUAGUGUAGCGGUGAAAUGCGUAGAUAUUAGGAAGAACACCAGUGGCGAAGGCGACUUUCUGGACGAAAACUGACGCUGAGGCGCGAAAGCCAGGGGAGCGAA
rnacentral:rRNA from 1 species